UACGGGGGGGCAAGCGUUGUUCGGAAUUACUGGGCGUAAAGGGCGCGUAGGCGGCCUGCUAAGUCACACGUGAAAUCCCUCGGCUCAACCGGGGAACUGCGUGUGAUACUGGCGGGCUUGGAAUUCGGGAGAGGGAUGGUGGAAUUCCAGGUGUAGCGGUGAAAUGCGUAGAUAUCUGGAGGAACACCGGUGGCGAAGGCGGCAGUCC
rnacentral:rRNA from 1 species